AUGAUAGGCAGCAGCAGUGCAGAUGGGAAGCCGUCUUGGAGGCCCAGUUCUCUCCUGCAACCACGGGGCUGUGUUCCCGGGCUGGCUGCCACCUUUGUGCUUUUGGCCUCUGACCGAGUCCCCGCCCCCACGCGCAGCCCCGACCUCUCCGGCGAGGACUCCCUCCUGUCCCUGGGAUCGAAUCCAAACUCUCCCUGGAGCUCAGGCCCGCCGCCAAUCGUCAGCAGACCCUCUCUCCUGGGUCUUUUCCUCCGCUCCCUCCAGCAGGGGGCCAUCACCUUCUGCUACUCCUUCCUCAGCCUCUCCCAGACUUUCGAGCCCGCGGCUGGGGUCGCCUUCAAAAAAGGAAAGUCAGACCGGACGCCGAUUUGUGUCCAAAGGAAAUACCAAUGGAGUCUUGUGAGCACAUCGAGAAGCCCUCUAUGUGACUCUAUUUCUUUUUCCUUUUAAAAUUUGUUUUUUCUUUUUUGGUAGAUAAAUCUGGGGCCUCAUGCAUUCUAGGCAAGUACUCUACUACUGAGCUACAUCCCUUUUUCCUUUUUUUAUUUUCCCAGUAGUAGAACCCAAGAUCUUUACACUGAGCUACAUCCCAGCCUCCUGUGAGCACAUCGAGAAGCCCUCUAUGUGACUCUAUUUCUUUUUCCUUUUAAAAUUUGUUUUUUCUUUUUUGGUAGAUAAAUCUGGGGCCUCAUGCAUUCUAGGCAAGUACUCUACUACUGAGCUACAUCCCUUUUUCCUUUUUUUAUUUUCCCAGUAGUAGAACCCAAGAUCUUUACACUGAGCUACAUCCCAGCCUCCCUUCUUCUUCUUCUUCUUCUUCUUCUUCUUUUUUUUUUUUUUUUUUUUUUUUUUUUUUUUUUUUUUUAUUUUCUUUUUUUUUUUUUUUUUUUUUUUUUUUUUUUUUUGGUUUGUUUGUUUGUUUCUUAAAUUGGGAUAGAAUCCCACUAAAUUGCCCAGGCUGGGCUCAAACUCGCAACCCUCCUUCCUCAGGCUGCCUAGUAGCUGGGGUUACAGGCGUGCUUUAGCACUCGGGGCUCAUUUUUCUUUUUAGUUGACAUGGACUUGUACGUAUUUAUGGGGUACAGUGUGAUAAUUUACUUUCUGCCACGCAAUGGUGAAGUCAGGAUAAUCAGCACUGCCCGCUCCUUAUAAUUUAUUUGUGUUUAGAGCCCUCAAAGGCCUGUGUUCUAGAUCCCCAUGAAAUAUGUAAUCGGUUUUGGGAACUAUAGUCACUCCACUGAGUGGGGAGCCCCAGAGCUUAUUCCUCUUCCUGUAACUAUAUUUUGGUUCCCGCCUCUUCCUUCCGUCCCCACCCUUUCACCUCCCCAGAGGCAGGGUCUCAGCAUGUAGUCCAGGCUGAACUCCUCCUGCCUCAGCCUGCCCCUGGGAUUACAGGCACCUGUCACAGCUCCUGGCUCCCUGUCGUUCUUUGAGACCAACUGUUUUAGCUUCCACAUGUGCGUGAGAAUAUCUGGUACUGUAUUUGUUUUACUGCUUAUUCUAGCUUAUUUCAUUUCCAAUGUUCAGUCCAUGUUGCUUCUUUUCAACGUCACUGAAUAACAUUCCAUUGCUUCGGCACCAUGUUAUUUUUAGCCAGUCACAGGCCGAUGGACUCCUCUGCAGGUCUCGUAUCUGCUGUUGUGUUGGUGCUGGUGCUGGAUCGGCUGUGCAUUGUUUUCCUUCUCACCUUGGCUUUGUGGAGGAAGGAGCUUUUUUUUUUUUUUUUUUCCAGAGUAUGACUUUGCAAAUAGUACAGGUGGGGAAACUAAGGCACGGGAGGCCAGAUCGCUAGUGGAACUGUAGCAGAGCUGGGCUUUGAUGGCUGGCUGCAGGGCGGCCCUGGUCACAGUGUGGCGGUGUCCUCCUGCGCCGGGACCCCAGUCCCACCCUUUGUCACCCCGCAGUCUCCUCCCUCCCUAGGGAUCCCUAGGCUGCUCCCCUUAGAACCAGCAGACGUGGUAAUCCCUCCCCUCCCCACCCAUAAGCACUAAUUUUAAGUGCCAUAAGUGCCUAAUCUUUGGCCCUCCCGUCUUUCCUGUUCUGUCAAGAUCUUGCAAAUAUUUCUUCUGCCUCGAGAGGAGCGACUGUCUAGACCUUGGAGAAGCUUCUGCGGUAUAAAGUCAGACUCUGCUGCUCAGUAGCUGAAUGAACUCGGACAAGUUAUUUAACCUUUCUGGGCUUCCCUUGCUCCGACUGUAAUAUGGGAAUUUUAAAUACUAGUACCUUUCCAUAGGAUCGGGACAAGCUGGACUGUUAAAUUUUGUAGCAUUGGCCUACACUGAGCCCUGCAAUGAUGUUAGUUUCCCUCUUUUUUUGGGGGGUACUGGGGAUCCAACUCCGAACCUUGCACUUCCCAGGCAGGUGGUGACACCGCUGAGCUCAAUCCCCAGUCCUCCCUCUUUUACUCUGCUGUGUCAUAUUCCAUUUCCAGAACAUUGCACGUGUCUGGCCCUAACAGUGAGUGUUCCUUCCACGCCUCACUUCCUAAUGGGACGUCCGUGUGUGAGAACACACACACUUUACAGGCUUGCCACAGAGGGGAUACCUGAGUCUUGAGGAACUCCAUAGUUCAUUUCUCCAAAAACUGACAGAUUGCUCUCCGGAAUGGGCGCUCCUUACUGUACUGAAUGACCCCCUCUUCCAUAAACUCCUGCGGAACAUGGUGGGUUUUUUUUCUUCUGUACCGGGGACUUUGGGAAUUGAACCCAAGACCUUUGCCCUAAGCUACAGCUUCAGUCUUUUUUGGUUUUUUGCUAUGUUUUAAUUUUUUUGGUACUGUGGAUGGAACUCAGGACCUUGUGCUUGUGAGGCAGGUGCAGCGCCGCUGAGUUAAAUCCCCGGCCGUGUAUGUUUUAAUUUCGAGACAGGGUUUGCUAAAUUGCCUGCCUCAGCCUCCCAGAGGGCUGAGAUUACAGGCAUGUGACACCAUGCCUGGCUAUGAACACAGUCCUCUUCCUCCUUCUAUUCUCUGGUAUUUUAUUUUGUUUGUUUGUUUGUUUUAGACAGAGUCUUGAUAUGUAGCUCAGGCUGGCCACAAAUUCGCAGCAAUCCUGCCUCAGCCUCCAAAGUGCUGGGAUUAUAGGCCUGUGCCACCAUGCCCGGCACCUCUUUUCUCCUCUUUUCUCCGAUACAGGGUCCUGGUAUGCAGUUCAGGCUGGCCUUGAGCUCACUAUGUAGCCCACACUGGCCUCAAACUUACAGCAAUCGUCCUGCCUUAGUCUCCUGAGUGGUGAGAUUACAGGUGUGCACUACCAUGCCGUUUGAACAGUGUUUUACACUGAUUGUUGCCGGUUCUGGUACAUGGGAAAGGAGGAGAGAGCUGCUCUAUGUACAGUUUCCCUUCUCUGGGCUUCUUUCGUCUUCAUGACCACCCAGAAUGACCACAGACAAAUAGGCGUGUGAGUGUGAGUGUGUGUAUCCAUUCAUUGUUAAUUUUUUUUAGACAGGGUCCCACUAUGUAGCCCAGGGUGUCCUCAAACUCAUGGUGGUAGAAUUACAGGUGUGUGUCACCGUGCCUGGUGUGCACUCACUUUUCAGGCUUUAAAUAUCCACGUUGUAAUAUUUUACUCCCUUCCAGAGUGGAAAAGGGAUCGUAGGUGGUGCCUCGCUCCUAGACUUAGGAAGACGCACCAUUCAUCCCGUGUUUGCUGGCCAAGCCCUCUUUGGCACUAACUUGUUUAUUCCUCAAGGGACACUGUGAGACCCCUGUUGCUGUUAUCCCUGAUGAGGAAACCACCACCACUCAUGGAGAAAUCAACUAUAAGAAGCAGAGCUGAGUAGGGCAUGGUGGUGCACGCCUGUAAUCCCAGCACUCAAGAGACAGAGGCAGGAAAAUCACUGCAAGUUCAAAGCCAGCCUGAGCUACAUAGUGAGUUCAAGGCCAAUAUAAACAAACUAUAUAAUGAGACCCUGUUUCAAAAAACAAAACAAAACAACAAAAAAACAAAAAAGAAGCGUAGCUGAAGCUGGGCAUCAUAGCACAUGC
rnacentral:lncRNA from 1 species